UGCCUGUCGGGACCCGAAAG
rnacentral:snRNA from 1 species